GAUGAACGCUGGCGGCGUGCUUAACACAUGCAAGUCGAGCGAAGCACUUUACUUGGAUUUCUUCGGAAUGACGAGUAUUGUGACUGAACGGCGGGCGGGUGAGUAACGCGUGGGUAACCUGCCUCAUACAGGGGGAUAACAGUUAGAAAUGACUGCUAAUACCGCAUAAGACCACAGCACCGCAUGGUGCAGGGGUAAAAACUCCGGUGGUAUGAGAUGGACCCGCGUCUGAUUAGCUGGUUGGUGGGGUAACGGCCUACCAAGGCAACGAUCAGUAGCCGACCUGAGAGGGCGACCGGCCACAUUGGGACUGAGACACGGCCCAAACUCCUACGGGAGGCAGCAGUGGGGAAUAUUGCACAAUGGGGGAAACCCUGAUGCAGCGACGCCGCGUGAAGGAAGAAGUAUUUCGGUAUGUAAACUUCUAUCAGCAGGGAAGAAAAUGACGGUACCUGACUAAGAAGCCCCGGCUAACUACGUGCCAGCCGCCGCCGUAA
rnacentral:rRNA from 1 species